GUUGACCUCGGAUCAGGUAGGGAUACCCGCUGAACUUAAGCAUAUCAAUAAGCGGAGGAAAAGAAACCAACAGGGAUUGCCUCAGUAACGGCGAGUGAAGCGGCAAGAGCUCAAAUUUGAAAUCUGGCUCCUUCGGGGCCCGAGUUGUAAUUUGUAGAGGAUGCUUCGGGCGUGGCCGCGGUCUAAGUCCCCUGGAACGGGGCGUCGCAGAGGGUGAGAAUCCCGUCUUCGGCCGGCCGGCCCCGCCCGUGUGAAGCUCCUUCGACGAGUCGAGUUGUUUGGGAAUGCAGCUCUAAAUGGGUGGUAAAUUUCAUCUAAAGCUAAAUACUGGUCGGAGACCGAUAGCGCACAAGUAGAGUGAUCGAAAGAUGAAAAGCACUUUGAAAAGAGAGUUAAACAGCAUGUGAAAUUGUUGAAAGGGAAGCGCUUGCGACCAGAGUCGGCCGCGGGGGCUCAGCGGGCACUCGUUGCCCGUGCACUCCCCCGUGGUCGGGCCAGCGUCGGUUUCGACGGUCGGUCAAAGGCCCCCGGAAUGUGUCGCCUCUCGGGGCGUCUUAUAGCCGGGGGUGCAAUGCGGCCAGUCGGGACCGAGGAACGCGCUCCGGCACGGACGCUGGCUUAAUGGUCGUAAGCGACCCGUCUUGAAACACGGACC
rnacentral:rRNA from 1 species